rnacentral:rRNA from 1 species
CUUCGACGAGUCGAGUAGUUUGGGAAUGCUGCUCAAAAUGGGAGGUAAAUUUCUUCUAAAGCUAAAUACCGGCCAGAGACCGAUAGCGCACAAGUAGAGUGAUCGAAAGAUGAAAAGCACUUUGAAAAGAGGGUUAAAAAGUACGUGAAAUUGUUGAAAGGGAAGCGCCUGUGACCAGACUUGCGCCCCGCGGACCACCCGGCGUUCUCGCCGGUGCACUCUGCGGUGCGCAGGCCAGCAUCGGUUCUCCCAGGGGGACAAAGGCCGCGGGAACGUAGCUCCUUCGGGAGUGUUAUAGCCCGCGGCGGCAUGCCCCUGGGGGGACCGAGGACCGCGCUUCGGCAAGGAUGCUGGCGUAAUGGUCACCAGCGACCCGUCUUGAACCACGGA